GCGGAGAUGCCGGAGUGGUCAAACGGGCUUGGUUAAGGACCAAGUGGCUCAGUGCCUACGAGGGUUCGAAUCCUUCUCUCCGCA
rnacentral:tRNA from 1 species